GCCCCUAUAGCUCAGUGGAUAAAGCGUGUUUCCUAAGCAGAAAGUCGUAGGUUCGAUCCCUACUUGGCGCG
rnacentral:tRNA from 1 species